rnacentral:rRNA from 1 species
AAGCGUGCGCAGGCGGUUUUGUAAGACUGUCGUGAAAUCCCCGGGCUCAACCUGGGAAUGGCGAUGGUGACUGCAAGGCUAGAGUUUGGCGAGAGGGGGGUAGAAUUCCACGUGUAGCAGUGAAAUGCGUAGAUAUGUGGAGGAACACCGAUGGCGAAGGCAGCCCCCUGGGUCAAAACUGACGCUCAUGCACGAAAGCGUGGGGAGCAAACAGGAUUAGAUACCCUAGU